rnacentral:rRNA from 1 species
UGUGAGACAAGUGGAACCGUCUGGAAAGUCGGGCCGUAGCGGGUGACAGCCCCGUACACGUAAUGCGCACACAAGUCCUAGAGUAAGGCGGGACACGUGAAAUCCUGUCUGAACAUGGGGAGACCACUCUCCAAGCCUAAGUACUCGUGCAUGACCGAUAGCGAACUAGUACCGUGAGGGAAAGGUGAAAAGCACCCCGACGAGGGGAGUGAAAUAGACCUGAAACCGGAUGCCUACAAACAGACGGAGCCCAAGAUACGUUCUGGGUGACGUCGUACCUUUUGUAUAAUGGG